AUGAACGCUAGCGGCAGGCUUAACACAUGCAAGUCGAGGGGCAGCGAGAUUGAAGCUUGCUUCAAUUGUCGGCGACCGGCGGACGGGUGCGUAACGCGUAUGCAACCUACCCAUAACAGGGGGAUAACACUGAGAAAUUGGUACUAAUACCCCAUAACAUCUCGAGUGGCAUCACUUGGGGUUGAAAGCUUCGGUGGUUAUGGAUGGGCAUGCGUUGUAUUAGCUAGUUGGUGAGGUAACGGCUCACCAAGGCGACGAUACAUAGGGGGACUGAGAGGUUAACCCCCCACAUUGGUACUGAGACACGGACCAAACUCCUACGGGAGGCAGCAGUGAGGAAUAUUGGUCAAUGGACGGAAGUCUGAACCAGCCAUGCCGCGUGCAGGAUGACGGCUCUAUGAGUUGUAAACUGCUUUUGUACGAGGGUAAACCCGAAUACGUGUAUUCGGCUGAAAGUAUCGUACGAAUAAGGAUCGGCUAACUCCGUGCCAGCAGCCGCGGUAAUACGGAGGAUCCAAGCGUUAUCCGGAUUUAUUGGGUUUAAAGGGUGCGUAGGCGGUUAGAUAAGUUAGAGGUGAAAUUCCGGUGCUUAACACCGGCGCUGCCUCUAAUACUGUUUGACUAGAGAGUAGUUGCGGUAGGCGGAAUGUAUGGUGUAGCGGUGAAAUGCUUAGAGAUCAUACAGAACACCGAUUGCGAAGGCAGCUUACCAAGCUAUAUCUGACGUUGAGGCACGAAAGCGUGGGGAGCAAACAGGAUUAGAUACCCUGGUAGUCCACGCAGUAAACGAUGAUAACUCGUUGUCGGCGAUACAAUGUCGGUGACUAAGCGAAAGCGAUAAGUUAUCCACCUGGGGAGUACGUUCGCAAGAAUGAAACUCAAAGGAAUUGACGGGGGCCCGCACAAGCGGAGGAACAUGUGGUUUAAUUCGAUGAUACGCGAGGAACCUUACCCGGGCUUAAAUUGCAACAGAAUAUAUUGGAAACAGUAUAGCCGUAAGGCUGUUGUGAAGGUGCUGCAUGGUUGUCGUCAGCUCGUGCCGUGAGGUGUCGGGUUAAGUCCCAUAACGAGCGCAACCCCUACCGUUAGUUGCCAUCAGGUAAAGCUGGGCACUCUAGCGGGACUGCCGGUGUAAGCCGAGAGGAAGGUGGGGAUGACGUCAAAUCAGCACGGCCCUUACGUCCGGGGCUACACACGUGUUACAAUGGUAGGUACAGAGGGCAGCUACCCUGCGAAGGGAUGCGAAUCUCGAAAGCCUAUCUCAGUUCGGAUUGGAGGCUGAAACCCGCCUCCAUGAAGUUGGAUUCGCUAGUAAUCGCGCAUCAGCCAUGGCGCGGUGAAUACGUUCCCGGGCCUUGUACACACCGCCCGUCAAGCCAUGGGAGCUGGGGGUGCCUGAAGUUCGUGACCGCAAGGAGCGACCUAGGGCAAAACCGGUAACUGGGGCU
rnacentral:rRNA from 1 species